rnacentral:lncRNA from 1 species
CUUACAGAUUUUCUUGUUUUACUUACACACGAAAAAAAUUCAAUCAUAGAGUUCAGGGAAGAGACAGAGAGAACAUACACUGUUCCCUAAUCCUGGGAGCCUACCACCAUCCAGAGCAACGUCAAAUGCAGACAACAAUGGUGUGUUGGACACACCCAAAUAAGCAAGAAUCAGGAGUUGGGGCAAAGAAAGAGGGAGAUUUUUCUCUAGUUCCUUGAUCUAGUUCUGUUUUAAAAUAUUCAGUAGCAAGACUCACAGCAGAGCAUCCCUUGCCAGCAAAGCCACAGCUCUCUAUUAUAUGAUCUCUAUUAUAUGAUUAGUGAUGCUAAGACUCGCAUAAGGAAAAUAAAGCUCAUGUACACCCCGUGGAAACCUCAGGGCACAAGCUCCACACAUUUACAUGCCAACCCUGCAGGUGCACAGUGGCAGGGCAGGAAGCUCUGAGACCCCAAGCAAGAUUUCAGAAAGUCUUUCUUUCCAACUGCAAAAAUAAAUAGGCCUCUAACUCCAGGCACUAAAGGGGUUUGUUGAGUAGUAUUUACACCUGUGGAGAGAGUGGAAGGUGGCACCUGAGAAGUUCAGAGUUUUUCUCUCUGACUCUAACUUGCUUCCCACUAUUCUUGCAGUGCCUUCACUCAGGCCAGAGACCCCAGAGUGUUUUGCUCAAGCUGGGUAAAUAACCCCAGGAAAUGGGAAACUCUAACUUUAAAGAGCUUACUUAAAACGGGCAAGUGCCAGUGUUGGCUGUCUUGAGCCCCUCCAUUCAGAGGAAACUGCCUUGGAGCGGGAGAAACACUAGCCUUGGGCCUUGCAGUGCUGGGCUCUGCUGGAUGGCCUUGGACAAGUCGCCAAAACUCUCUGAGCACUUCUCCCCUUCCAUGAGAUGAAGGUGGCACCACUGCAGGCAGAUACUCUCAUAAGAAUCAAUGGGAAGGAAAGUCAUUACCAUACUGUGGCAUCCAACACAGAAUUUGAAGCAAGACGCUCAAGCUAAGGGCCCAGGAAAGACCAGGCAGAGGGUCAAAGAACGACUACUGCCCACAUUCCCACCCCAAGAAAACUAGGUCGAAAAAGAUUCACAAGUGCAUUUUUUUCAAAUCUUCAAUGAACAAAUAAUGUGACAUUUUUUCCACUCUUUUCAAAGCAUAGAAGAGAGAUAAGAAUAAGGAAUAAAGAUUAUCUUGCUAAUUAACAUCAGUACAAAAAUCUCUAAUGUAGCAUUAGCAAACAGAAUCCAACAGAACACUAAAAAAAUGCACCAUGACCAAAUAGGGUUGAUUGAGAAAUGAAAAGGUGGUUCAAGA